GAGUUUGAUCCUGGCUCAGGAUGAACGCUAGCGGCAGGCUUAACACAUGCAAGUCGAGGGGCAUCGGGAGGGAAGCUUGCUUUCCUUGCCGGCGACCGGCGCACGGGUGAGUAACACGUAUGCAACCUGCCCUCUUCAGGGGGACAACCUUCCGAAAGGGAGGCUAAUCCCGCGUAUAUCGGUUUCGGGCAUCCGAGAUCGAGGAAAGAUUCAUCGGAAGAGGAUGGGCAUGUGGCGCAUUAGCUUGACGGCGGGGUAACGGCCCACCGUGGCGACGAUGCGUAGGGGUUCUGAGAGGAAGGUCCCCCACACUGGUACUGAGACACGGACCAGACUCCUACGGGAGGCAGCAGUGAGGAAUAUUGGUCAAUGGGAGAGAUCCUGAACCAGCCAAGCCGCGUGAGGGAAGACGGCCCUAUGGGUUGUAAACCUCU
rnacentral:rRNA from 1 species